AACCAAGAGCAGGUAAAUGACAAGAGUAACUAUGACUCUCUUAAGGUAGCUAGAUUCCUCGUCAUAUAAUUAGUGACAUUCCUGAAUGGAUCAUUAAUGAGAUUCCCCAUUGUCUCUAGCUACUACAUUCUUGAGAAGCUACAUCCAAGAGAAUGGGCUUGGCAGAAUUAGGGGGGAAAGAAGACCAUUUUGAGCUUGACUCUAGUCCUAAAGCAUUCAUAGUUUGA
rnacentral:ncRNA from 1 species